GUUUAAAAAUUCUUAUUUCAUUUUUACUUGAUUAAUGUUCAAAUCUGAAUUAAUAACAAUAAAGCUACAAAUAAAAGAUUUUUAGUCUUAAAAAACAACAGAUCCUGUUUGGGCCCCUCCCUUAUUAGCAAGAAACACUGCCCCAAGAUCACCUGACAUCACUUAUUGACUCAAAUCACUUUUAGGAAAAUGCUGUCCUGUAUCAAGAAGCCUAUAUGUGUAAAUAAUAUACAGGUUUCUUAAAAUACAGUAUCAAACAAAUAGUUCAAUCUUUUCUUUUUUAUUGAUCAUCUGUAAAUUGUAUAAGAAUGGAAAUAAUGAUUUUUUAAAUAUAUUUUUUUAAAGUAAAAAAGUUAUAUCUUUCUGAAAGCAUAAUAUUCAAACCAUAGACUUGUAUAUACUAUAUCUAGACUGGGCAUGGAGAUUUUUUAACACUACAAAAAAUGUAGUGAAAUUUUUUUAGAAAGUUGGAUCAAGGCAUU